CCUCAUCGCCUUUGGCUCCUAGGACCAGCCAGCCCCGUCUUCGCAGUUAGCUCCAUACUCCGGAUCAGCCAUGACCUCUCAGAUUCGUCAGAAUUAUUCCACCGAAGUGGAAGCUGCCGUGAACCGCCUGGUCAACUUGCACCUGCGGGCCUCUUACACCUACCUCUCUCUGGGCUUCUUUUUUGAUCGGGAUGACGUGGCUUUGGAGGGCGUAGGCCACUUCUUCCGCGAUUGGCCGAGGAGAAGCGCCCGCGGAGCGUCUCCUCAAGUUGCAGAACGAACGCGGGGGCCAUGCACUCUUCCAGGAUGUGCAGAAGCCAUCUCAAGAUGAGUGGGGUAAAACCCUGGAGGCCAUGGAAGCUGCCUUGGCCCUGGAGAAGAACCUGAACCAGGCCCUCUUGGAUCUGCACGCCCUGGGCUCUGCCCGCACAGACCCUCACCUCUGUGACUUCUUGGAAAGCCACUUCCUGGAUAAGGAGGUGAAGCUCAUCAAGAAGAUGGGCAACCACCUGACCAACCUCCGUAGGGUGGCAGGGCCACAACCAGCGCAGACUGGCGUGGCCCAGGCAUCUCUGGGCGAGUAUCUCUUUGAGCGCCUCACUCUGAAGCACGACUAGGCCUCUGUGCCUUCCAAGGGGCUCCCUCCUCUGCUCUGCACCGACCCGACCGCCUCAGCACCUCCACCCGAGUGAACCUCUAAAGCCACUAGGCGGCUUUGUAACCGCCCUGGAGCCUCUCCCAAGUCUUGGACCAAGUAAAAAUAAAGCUUUUGAAAA